rnacentral:rRNA from 1 species
UACAGAGGUCCCAAGCGUUGUUCGGAUUCACUGGGCGUAAAGGGUGCGUAGGUGGUGGGGUAAGUCUGACGUGAAAUCUCCGGGCCUAACCCGGAAACUGCGUCGGAUACUAUCUCACUCGAGGAAUGGAGGGGAGACUGGAAUUCUCGGUGUAGCGGUGAAAUGCGCAGAUAUCGGGAGGAACACCAGUGGCGAAGGCGGCGAUCUGGAGAGUACUGACGCUGAGGUGCGAAGCGAUGGGAG